ACCCAAUCCUGACACAGGGAGGUAGUGACAAGAAAUAACAAAGCAAGCCCUUAGGGGCGCUGCGUUGGAAUGAGUAGAAUUUAAAUCUCCUUACGACUAUCGAUUGGAGGGCAAGUCUGGUGCCAGCAGCCGCGGUAAUUCCAGCUCCAAUAGCGUAUAUUAAAGUUGUUGCGGUUAAAAAGCUCGUAGUUGGAUUUCUGUUGAAGUCAGCCGGUGCACACUUCGUGUGUUAUUUGGCCUGGCUUUGGCAUCCUCUGGGGGAACGUUUCUGGCCUUAAUUGGACAGGGCGAGAUUCCAGACUUUUACUUUGAGGAAAUUAGAGUGUUCACAGCAGGCAAGUGCUUUGAAUACAUUAGCAUGGAAUAAUAAUAUAGGACCUUCGUUCUAUUUUGUUGGUUUCUAGGACUUAGGUAAUGAUUAAUAGGGACAAUUGGGGGCAUUCGUAUUAACGCGUCAGAGGUGGAAUUCUUGGAUUGCGUUACGACGAACUACUGCGAAAGCAUUUGCCAAAGAUGUUUUCAUUGAUCAAGAACGAAAGUAUGGGGAUCGAAGACGCUUAGAUACCGUCGUAGUCUAUACCAUAAACUAUGCCAACUAGGGAUGUGGCGGGUACUCUUUUAUGGCUCGUUGCGCACCUUAUGAGAAAUCAAAGUUUUUGGGUUCCGGGGGGAGUAUUGUCGCAAGGCCGAAACUUAAAGGAAUUGACGGAAGGGCACCACCAGGAGUGGAGCCUGCGGCUUAAUUUGACUCAAUACGGGAAAACUCACCAGGUCCAGACAUAGUGAGGAUUGACAGAUU
rnacentral:rRNA from 1 species